rnacentral:lncRNA from 1 species
UCAUAAGUUCAUUCAGCCAGUUUCUGAUCACGGUGAGGUCCACACAAUUCAUGCCUUGGGCGAUGAGAUCUUGUGGCCAGCACCCAAAGCCACCAGAAAUACCAUAUAACCAGUCGUCUCUAUGAACUCAAGGAGGCCCCUUUUCCAUCAAGGUAGAAUGGUGACCUAGGAUUAAGCAACAAUCAUGAGAUAACAAACAGAACAAAGUGGUCAUUGGUCGACUCGACAUUACUACCAGGUGGGCUAGUGUAAUGAACUUAAAGGAUCAUAAGAUACCCAGAUCACGACCAGCUACAUUAGCAUACUGUCAUGUUGGUUACUAUAAUUAAUUAAAUAGCUGAGCAUCUUUAGCAUCGAACAAAGCAGAAUUACAAGCAUGCUAAGAUUAAAUAAGGACCUAAUCAGCCAGUUUUGCUAGGCAUCGAUGGCAAUGCCCACAUCUCACAGAAAAAUUGACAGGCUGACCAAUGAAACAUAAAAAAGCAUGGUCCAAGUGACAACAAGUAGGCUUCACACCUUCCACAAGCAGAUUGUCAAGCUGAAAAAUGAAAUCUAGAAGCGAGAUCCAAUUGACAGCAAAUCUAUAUAUCUGCUGGUCCCAGCUGUCGAACGAUUUAGAUAAAUUGGCUGCUGCUAAAAAGCUCAAGGUGCCACAGUACUUGUUACUAUGUAACUACUGGCAGGUUAAUUGUUUACAAAACUUAGAAAAACAAGAUGCAAUGGUGUAUAACACACAGAGAUAGAUGUGCGAGGAAAAAGACCACAACAAUGUUUGUUAAAAGAAGGACCGAGUUCUACUGACUGAAUAGUUAUUGAUCACAACAUGUUAAAGAAGAAUCAAAAUCUUCCGCUUAAUAUGGCAAUACCUAGAACCGGAUAGCUUUUUUCCUGCUAAUCACAGUCAUGAUAGCUCAUGGAGCAUUCACCGGUUCCCCUUGACAUUCGCCACCAUCUUUUCUAUGAUGGAACCCGCCUUCGGUUUUGCCGGUGCUUGCCGAAGUUGGCUGGCAGGGUUGCUUGCCCAUCACUGCAGCAAACAGUUUCCAACAAACACACGGUCAGGUGUCGCUGGAGCAAGGGUAUAGGACGACAACAAUGUAGCAUACAACAGCUAUGCACACAACUUAUGGAUAUCAUCAAGUGUACCACAUAUAGUGAUCAGAAAUGAACUAAGGCACCAUUUUUCAGAAUUCAACUUAGCAAGGUUUGCAUAGAACUAUACAGUAUCAGAAAAGAACCAAGGAAAGAAGAUUAAUUAUAGCAUAUAACUAUAUAUAGUGUAUGUAUAAAGGAAAAUGGGAACUUUGGAGUUACAACAAUGACCAAUCAACUCUACAUCCAGACUAAGAACCUCAGAAAGAAACAUGUGUGACUUAUGAAUACUACUACUGCUAUUAAGGAGAAGUUUGCAUUCAGCCAGCACUUUUGCAGAGUCUGGGUUGAUCUGAAAGAAACACAUACAUAACUCAGAAGCAGAAAAUCCGUGCCACCGUCACAAAGCCAAAUUGAAUGCCUGCCUUGUCACGCUACUGUAUGAGAAGCAACUAAACGGUAGAGAUCAAAAAGGGAGAGAGAAAGAGAGAUUAAUGAC